AAACAGAAAGGCAAAAAGCAACAGAAUGUAUUUCAGGUUGCGAACAAACAGUCAAAACCCAAGACCAAAGCGAAACCCGUCAAGACCUCUUUGAAACAUAUAAACACUUUGAGAAAUGAAAAAGUGGAGAGCUUAAAUCAGAUGUUCACAGAAGUACAGCAAGAUGUCAGAAGUAUAUCAAAAUCAACAUCCAGUGAACCC